rfam:Anopheles atroparvus strain EBRO unplaced genomic scaffold supercont1.54, whole genome shotgun sequence.
AGCUUUGCGCAGUGGCGAUAUCGUAACCAAUGAGGGAAAACUGAGGUGCGAUGCGCUAGUUGAAAACUAAUCAUUCACUGUGUGUUCCGGGUUACCGAGAACAGCUGACCGAUUUUCUAUUUUCUGAAUCGUUUCUUGAGC